CAAAAACUCGCCAGCGGCCCACCGGGCAAAUGCCCGGUAUGCCCGAUGGCCAGUCCAGCUAUGCCUGCACACUUUAAACAGUAAACAGUGGCGAUGGUAACGUCCUUGCCUUCAGCCCCUCCCAGUUGAAGCCAUUAAACCACCUUCAGAUACAUUAGAGAAAACACACAUCUCUUUAGGUAUGCUGGCCUGCACAUGUGAGUCUGUACCUGCAUAGCUUGCGUAUGAGGUCCUCCGGUCUCUUUGUUAUCUUCUUCGGGAAGUCCAUCUUCUCAAUGCCUCUCAAGAUGAAAGUGUACGUCAUCAUC